rnacentral:rRNA from 1 species
GGUGAGUAAUGUCUGGGAAACUGCCUGAUGGAGGGGGAUAACUACUGGAAACGGUAGCUAAUACCGCAUAACGUCGCAAGACCAAAGAGGGGGACCUUCGGGCCUCUUGCCAUCAGAUGUGCCCAGAUGGGAUUAGCUAGUAGGUGGGGUAACGGCUCACCUAGGCGACGAUCCCUAGCUGGUCUGAGAGGAUGACCAGCCACACUGGAACUGAGACACGGUCCAGACUCCUACGGGAGGCAGCAGUGGGGAAUAUUGCACAAUGGGCGCAAGCCUGAUGCAGCCAUGCCGCGUGUAUGAAGAAGGCCUUCGGGUUGUAAAGUACUUUCAGCGGGGAG